GAUGAACGCUAGCGGCAGGCCUAAUACAUGCAAGCCGAACGGUAAGUUGAGUAGCAAUACGAGACUGAGAGUGGCGUAAGGGUGCGUAACACGUAUGCAAUCUGCCCGCAACAGGAGGAUAGCUCAGGGAAACUUGAAUUAACCCUCCAUAGGAUAGCGGUGAGGCAUCUCACGGUUAUAAAAACCACGGUGGUUGCGGAUGAGCAUGCGUCUGAUUAGCUAGUUGGGGAGGUAACGGCUCACCAAGGCGAUGAUCAGUAGGGGAACUGAGAGGUUGAUCCCCACACUGGCACUGAGAUACGGGCCAGACUCCUACGGGAGGCAGCAGUAGGGAAUAUUGGACAAUGGGUGGAAGCCUGAUCCAGCCAUGCCGCGUGCAGGAGAAGGCCUUCUGGGUUGUAAACUGCUUUAGCCUGGGGAUAAAAAGCUCAUGCGUGGGCAACUGAAGGUACCAGGAUAAUAAGCCACGG
rnacentral:rRNA from 1 species